AGCAGCCUGGGAAUGUGGGCUAAGCAAACCCCAUCCCUCCUUUUCAAUCUUUGUCCCCAGGGAGACCCAGUGGAGACGUAGCGUGCGCUGGAGAGCGUCCUUCAGGGAGGUGACAGCCGAUUGCACAGCAACGCUGAGACCCACCUGACAGCAAAGGCGCCUGGUGGCCACGGACGACCCUAGGUGGAGAGAUCCAUGUGGACAUGCUCAGUCACAGAGGCAAAAGGACAAACAGGAAGCAUGGUAUGCACCAAGCACACCCAGAGCUGCGCCCGUGCCAGGAGAAGACUUCAAGCACAGGCAGGGCUGAUGGCGACAGUUCCCACCAGCUGUCCAGCUCCAGAAGAUGCAGGUAAGAUGCCACAGAGGGGAGAGCAACCGGUUGUCACUUCUUCUCCAGGAAGAGGAUUUAACAGCAGAAGGGAGGCAGGAACAAAAGGGCUUUGGAAGUCCAAAAGUGCAUCAGGCAGCUGGAGCAGUUGUGUGACAGCAGAGGAAGAAGAGAAGGAGAUGCAAGUGACCUGGCUGGGGCAAUGCUUCCGAGGGCAUAUUUCAAUGAUGUCAUGCGCUGCAGGUUUCGUCUAUCACAGGACCUUCGCGUGAUGGACACCAGAUCAGCUCCAGCCCCGUUCCUCCCCUGGAUGCCUCAAUGGCCUGGUAAUCAUCCUUAUGGACAGAGGAAUGUCCUGCUUAAACAGGCCAUCUUAGAGACAAAGGGCUCGAGAUAAGCAGUUCACAGUUCCUUGAGAUGACAGCCCAGUCCCUCACACCUAACAAUCUUUGAGUCAAAUGGUUCAAGAUAACAAUUCAGUCUCUUACAGGCUUCCUGGGGAGGGAUUGCAGGCAUGCAAGACCUGUUGGUGAGCUCAGUCUUAUUUUGGGAUGCUCUCUAUGGGACAGGAGGACAAUUGCUUUGAACUGCCUAUAUUUCUGGAAGGAUUACCUACAUUUACCUUCCAUCUGAAAUACUGCUUGGUGCAAGCUGUUGGUUUUUUCUUUUAAAAAAGGGGGGGGAGGUGUGUGUGAAUAGCUGAGUGCUAGUAUACAGUGAUUUACCUUCCCCUGCUUAGAGUAAAUGGGUUUAGGAUUAAAAAUACCCAUUUUGUGUUAGAAAAAUUGGUUCCCUUAAAGAUUCAAGUGCUUGCUGAUGGACUCCUGGCUGACAAAAUCUCUUUUCAGCUUGCUUAAAUAUUAAACAGUUUUUAAAGUAGUGUUCGGAUUAUC
rnacentral:lncRNA from 1 species